UAAAAGUUAGCUCAUAUUUGUAUGGAAUUGUUUGCGUAUGUUUGCCGCUAGGGGCGCUGUUCCAACUGCAUACAAAAUUGGGUUA
rnacentral:pre_miRNA from 1 species